AGUGAACGCUGGCGGUAGGCCUAACACAUGCAAGUCGAACGGCAGCACAGUAAGAGCUUGCUCUUACGGGUGGCGAGUGGCGGACGGGUGAGGAAUACAUCGGAAUCUACUUUUUCGUGGGGGAUAACGUAGGGAAACUUACGCUAAUACCGCAUACGACCUACGGGUGAAAGCAGGGGAUCUUCGGACCUUGCGCGAUUGAAUGAGCCGAUGUCGGAUUAGCGAGUUGGCGGGGUAAAGGCCCACCAAGGCGACGAUCCGUAGCUGGUCUGAGAGGAUGAUUAGCCACACUGGAACUGAGAGACGGUCCAGACUCCUACGGGAGGCAGCAGUGGGGAAUAUUGGACAAUGGGCGCAAGCCUGAUCCAGCCAUACCGCGUGGGUGAAGAAGGCCUUCGGGUUGUAAAGCCCUUUUGUUGGGAAAGAAAAGCAGCAGGUUAAUACCCCGCUGUUCUGACGGUACCCAAAGAAUAAGCACCGGCUAACUUCGUG
rnacentral:rRNA from 1 species